CUUAAUGGGGUUUUCAACAUUUGGCCACUCUUAUCCUUAUCAAUAGAUACCCCAGAUGCAGGAUCUACAUGGAGGGCCUCAAGAAUACGACCAGUUGAUGGCCUGCAGAAAAGUGAGAUUUUAAACAAGAAAUGUUUCAUGUUAUCAUGCAAACUGAACAGCAUCAAGUAAGACUUGCUCCCUCUUCCCCUUGACAGUUAUUCGAACAGGUGUAAAUGGUGAUAUAUUCUAAACCACAUUAAGUUCC